rnacentral:lncRNA from 1 species
CUGUAUGGUUUUUUAGUUGUUUCAAGUGGAAGAGUAAUUCUGGUUCCUGUCACUUCAUCUUGGCUGGAACCAGAAGUCUCAGUCAACUUUAAAAAGAGUAAAAUGUGGAAACUCACCCUACAGAUAUUAAGAUUCAUCAAGGUUAUAAUAAGAUCAUGGAGUGCCAUUGUAGGAAAAGACAAACACACCUAUGCAAUAGAAGAGCCUUAAGUAGACCCAUGUCUGUAUGGGAAUGUGGUAUACAAUGUGGGGCACCACGUGCUGGAGAAGGACGGACUGUUUCUGUAGGCUGGGUUGGGAAAAUUGGCCCAGUGUUGGAUAUAAAAAGUUGGAUCCCUACCUCACACCACAUACAAAGGUAACCUCUAGAUAGAUUAAAAACAUAAAUAUGAAAUGUCAAAUCAGCCAAUCAAAACACAGUAGGGAAAUAUUUUUGUAUUCUUUGGGUGUGUAAGGAUUGCUUAAGAUAAAAAAAAAAUGCAUACAACAUCUAGAAAAAAUGAUGUCUGAUAUCAAAAUUAAGGAUUUAUUUUCAACAAAGGACACUACUGAUGAUGUUAACAGCAUAGGAGGAAAUACCUGCAACAUCCAAAAUGGUCAAAGAUAAGUAGCUAGAACUGUGCUGUUCAAUACAGUACCCACUGUACAUUUGGCUAUUUAAACUGAAGUUUAAUUAAAAUUUAAAAUGCAGUUUCUCAGUUAGAUUAGUGCCAUGUGAAGUCCUUGGUAUCCACACCUGACUAGUACACUAGUGUCUACUGUGGAUUGAAUUGUGUUCGUGUGUUAUUGUGAUUCAUGAGAAAUAUAUAUUUGGUCAUUCGGAUGACCAAAAUACUUCUGACAUAUUUGGUAUUCAUCUGCAGUUCCUAGCUCACAGUUCUGAAAACCUUGGAAAUUCCUCAGCUUCUGGAGUGAUAAAGGUGUCUCAUUAUUGGUCAAUGACAGAAGCUCUUGUGUUGAGGACCUCACCCUAUGUAUCUCUUCAUCAGCUGUUGAUUCUUAUCCUUUAAUGUCCUUUGUAAUAAAUUGGUAUCUAGUGAGUUUUGUGAACUGUUUUCUUGAGUUUUCUGAGCCAUUCUAGCAAAUUUAUCGAACCCUAGAAAA